UCAAUCUUCCAUCACAAAUGGCUGUUCUUGAAUAUGGAAAGAAGCGUAACUGGGUGUUGGGUACGGAUAACUGCUAUCACUUCAAUGCAGCUGACGAGGCGAGCGCCGCGGCCGCCGGCGUGCUGCCAUCUGCCGAGCUUGCGGAACAAACCAUUGAAUAUGCUAGACAUCUAGAAAUGAUUGUAUAGGUCCCUUCAUUUGUAAUCUUUCAUCAAUAAAAUUUUUAAAAUGUA